UAAAAGCUCGUAGUCGAAUUUGUGUCUCGCGCCGUCCGGUUCAUCGUUCGCGGUGUCAACUGGCGUGUCGCGAGACGUCCUGCCGGCGGAUCGUUCGCAAGAACGGUCCAACUGACCCCGCCGCGGUGCUCUUCAUUGAGUGUCGAGGUGGGCCGGCACGUUUACUUUGAACAAACUAAGGUGCUUAAAGCAGGCUGAAAUUUUGCCAGAAUAUUUUAUGCAUGGAAUAAUGAAACAGGACCUCGAUUCUAUUUUGUUGGUUUUCGGAACCUCGAGGUAAUGAUUAACAGGAACGGAUGGGGGCAUUCGUAUUGCGACGUUAGAGGUGAAAUUCUUGGAUCGUCGCAAGACGGACAGAAGCGAAAGCAUUUGCCAAAAACGUUUUCAUUGAUCAAGAACGAAAGUUAGAGGUUCGAAGGCGAUCAGAUACCGCCCUAGUUCUAACCAUAAACUAUGCCAGCUAGCGAUCCGCCGACGUUCCUCCGAUGACUCGGCGGGCAGCUUCCGGGAAACCAAAGCUUUUGGGUUCCGGGGGAAGUAUGGUUGCAAAGCUGAAACUUAAAGGAAUUGACGGAAGGGCACCACCAGGAGUGGAGCCUGCGGCUUAAUUUGACUCAACACGGGAAACCUCACCAGGCCCGGACACCGGAAGGAUUGACAGAUUGAGAGCUCUUUCUUGAUUCGGUGGGUGGUGGUGCAUGGCCGUUCUUAGUUGGUGGAGCGAUUUGUCUGGUUAAU
rnacentral:rRNA from 1 species